rnacentral:rRNA from 1 species
AUGGCCAUGGUGCUGGACGCCUUCGCGUCCUACAUCGCUGACACGAUCAAGCAGAUGGCGGCGGACGAGGUGGGGAUGCUGCUCGGCGUCACGGGGGAGAUCGACAGCCUGCAGGACAAGCUGGAGAGCCUGAGGGACUACCUCGCCGACGCCGAGAGGAAGCGCAUCACCGACCGGAGGGUGCAGGGGUGGGUCACGAAGCUCAAGGGCGUCAUGUACGAGGCCACCAACAUCCUCGACCUCUGCGAGCUCAAGGCCAUGGGUCGGCGGGACGCAGCACCCUCACCCUGCUGCAACCCGCUGCUCUUCUGCUUGCGGCAUCCCAUGUUCGCUCACGACAUUGGUAGCCGCAUCAGGAAGCUCAACAAGAGGCUGGACGACAUCUGCAAGCUCGGUGCUGCCUUCAGCUUCAUCAAGCUGGAAACCUACCAGGACUACAGGACCGGACGACCUUCUGCGGCUGACCGGAAGACAGAUCCGGUUUUGGAGCGCUCGGCCGUGGUAGGGGAGAAGAUUGAAGAGGAUACACGAGCGCUGGUGAAGGAGCUGACAAAGGGUAAUCAUGGCAUUGUGGUGGUCGCCAUUGUGGGUGUCGGCGGGAUCGGGAAGACCACCCUUGCCAAGAAGGUCUUUAACGACGAGGACAUUCAACACAAGUUUGAAAAGAAGAUGUGGCUGAGCGUCACACAAGAAUUCAGCGAGGUUGAGCUACUAAGGUCGGCCAUCACUGCCGCCAACGGAGAACUCCCCAGGACGCAAGAAAAAUCUCAGCUUAUGCCGGCCCUUAAAAAUGCCAUCAAAGAUCAGAAGUUUCUUCUGGUUUUGGAUGAUAUGUGGAGUGAUAGAGCAUGGACCUCCUUGCUCAAUGCUCCCUUCAGCUACGGUGCCCCUGGUAGCCGGAUUGUUAUCACCACCAGAAAUGACACGGUUGCCCGAGUAGUCUCGGGCGAUGAAGAUGGACCUGAUAUCGAUAUGCUUAAGGAUAUUGGACUGCAAGUGAUUGAAAAAUGUGAUGGUUUGCCUCUUGCUGUCAAAGUAAUGGGAGGACUUUUGCGUCAGAAAGGGAAGCAACGCCAUGACUGGGAGAUGGUUCUGAAUGAUUCUAUUUGGUCAGUAUCUGAAAUGCCCGAAGAACUAAACUAUGCAGUAUAUUUAAGCUAUGAAGAUUUGCCUCCUUGCAUCAAGCAGUGCUUUCUACACUACUCCCUUCUCCCUAAAGGUGGACUUUUCCAUCGUGCUGAAAUUAUUGGCAUGUGGAUUAGUGAAGGAUUUAUUCACGGAAGCUCAGACGACGACUUGGAAGAAUUAGGAAUGAAGUACUAUAGUGAGCUGAUACUUAGGAACCUUAUAGAGCCAGGGAUACAGUAUAUUGAUGAUCCAGUUUUCAAUAUGCAUGAUGUUGUUCGCUCAUUUGCUCAAUUUGUGGCUAGAGACGAGGCAGCAGCUGUCCAGAGUGGAGAAAAUGGUAAUAUUAGUGAACUCACUGCACAAAAGUUUCUGCACUUAUCCAUAGAAAGCAAAGUUCCAGAAUCAGAAGGGUUGGACUGGAGUUCUUUACAAGCACAAAAGGCACUGAGAACACUAAUAUGUCUCGGCCAUGUAAAUAUAAAGCCUGGAGAUUCGUUGGUUGCUUUUCCAUGCCUGCGGACUCUUAUUCUACAUAAAGGUCCUGCAAAUGUUGCUGUAUUGGUUGAAUCUUUACAUGAACUCAAGCACUUGAGGUACUUAUCCAUAAAGAAUUCUGAUAUAUCUUGCCUGCCGGAAAACAUUGGGGAGAUGAAAUUCUUGCAGUACAUCAGCCUUAGAGGAUGCAGACAAUUUGUGAAACUUCCACAUCGCAUUGUAAAUUUAAGGAAGCUAUGGCUUCUUGACUUGUUUGGAACUAGUAUAAAUGGUAUACCUAGGGGGUUCUGUGCUUUAAAAGAUUUGAGGACACUACAUGGGUUUCCAACCCAGGUGGAUGGUGACUGGUGUAGUUUGGAAGAGUUGGGCCCUCUUUCCCAACUCAGGGUUCUUGAUCUGGACGGACUGCAGAAUGUAUCUGCUACCUGGUCCGCCACGAAAGCAAGGCUUAGUGAGAAGGAGCAUCUUACCAACUUGUAUUUACAGUGCAGUAGUAUACUUUGGGUUGACGGGCUGAUUAAAGAUGAAGGUGUCUCUGAGCAACGACAAAUCAAGGAGGUGUUUGAUUUUCUUAUUAUCACAGGAUAUUUUGGCCGACAACUCCCAAGGUGGAUGAUGUCAACAUUAUUAGCAUGCUCCCUCAGGCGCUUGAGGACUCUAGGGAUGAUAGACCUGGCUUGCUGCACACAACUCCCUGAUGGCUUGUGCCAACUCCCCUAUUUGGAGAAUUUUCGCAUCAAGCACGCUCCAUCCAUCAAGCAUGUUGGACCAGAAUUCCUCCAGCCCUACCAUCACCAUGGCGCUCAUCCUUUCCAGGUGUCACUUGCCUUUCCGAGAUUACACAAGAUGUACUUAAUCGGAAUGCUUCAAUGGCAGGAAUGGGUGUGGGAGGAGCAAGUGCAAGCCUUCCCUGUUUUGGAGGAGCUUUUCAUCAAAAAGUGCAAACUGAGGCUUGUUCCUCCUGGCCUUGCCUCAAAUGCAAGGGCUUUAAAAAAAUUAACUAUAUCUUUGAUACAGCAACUCAAAUUACUGGAGAAUUUUGCUUCAAUUACUGAGCUUGAAGUAACUUGCAACCCCGACCUGGAGAGGAUCACUAAUCUCCCCAAACUUCAGAAGCUUACCAUCGUCAAGUGCCCAAAGCUGAAUGUGUUAGAGGGUGUUCCUGCACUUCAGAUUCUUGACCUAGAGGAUUACGCCAUGGAAGAACUUCCAGAAUACAUGCGAGGUAUAAGGCCAAGACAUUUGCUGGUAGACUGCAAGCUAUCUGGCACCGAGUGGGACAAGUUCAGCCAUGUCGAACAUGUCAAGGCAUAUUCACAUGAUGGAAACAAAUCCAGAACACUUUAUGUGUUGUACACAAGGGAUCCCUGCGGCUUGGAGACAAAUAUUAUCCACUCGUUUGUAUCUGCAGGUAAACAUAUGAGCUUCGUCUUCAUUUAUUUGAGUGUUCUGACAUUAGUUCAUUUCAUUUUGUGUCCUUCCAUAUAUGCUCAUUUUUUUAAAUAUAUUACCUUUUCAUUCCACUUGAGUAUGUCGUUUGUAGUUAUGCAACUUCAGUUUUAG